rnacentral:rRNA from 1 species
AGAGUUUGAUCAUGGCUCAGAUUGAACGCUGGCGGCAUGCUUUACACAUGCAAGUCGAGCGGCAGCGCGGGGGCAACCCUGGCGGCGAGCGGCGAACGGGUGAGUAAUGCAUCGGAACGUACCCUGGAGUGGGGGAUAACGCCGCGAAAGCGGCGCUAAUACCGCAUAUGCUCUGAGGAGGAAAGUGGGGACCGCAAGGCCUCACGCUCUGGGAGCGGCCGAUGUCCGAUUAGCUAGUUGGUGGGGUAAAGGCUUACCAAGGCGACGAUCGGUAGCUGGUCUGAGAGGAUGAUCAGCCACACUGGGACUGAGACGCGGCCCAGACUCCUACGGGAGGCAGCAGUGGGGAAUUUUGGACAAUGGGGGCAACCCUGAUCCAACCAUGCCGCGUGAGUGAAGAAGGCCUUCGGGUUGUAAAGCUCUUUUGGUCGGGAAGAAAGCGCCUUGCCUAAUACGCGAGGUGGUUGACGGUACCGGCAGAAUAAGCACCGGCUAACUACGUG